rnacentral:rRNA from 1 species
GACGAACGCUGGCGGCGUGCUUAACACAUGCAAGUCGAACGGAAAGGCCCUGCUUGCAGGGUACUCGAGUGGCGAACGGGUGAGUAACACGUGGGUGAUCUGCCCUGCACUUCGGGAUAAGCCUGGGAAACUGGGUCUAAUACCGGAUAGGAGCCAUUUUUAGUGUGAUGGUUGGAAAGUUUUUUCGGUGUAGGAUGAGCUCGCGGCCUAUCAGCUUGUUGGUGGGGUAAUGGCCUACCAAGGCGGCGACGGGUAGCCGGGCUGAGAGGGUGGACGGCCAAAUUGGGACUGAGAUACGGCCCAGACACCUACGGGAGGCAGAAGUGGGGAAUAUUGAAAAAUGGGCGCAAGCCUGAUGCAGCGACGCCGCGUGGGGGAUGACGGCCUUCGGGUUGUAAACUCCUUUCGCUAGGGACGAAGCUUUUUGUGACGGUACCUAGAUAAGAAGCACCGGCUAACUACGUG